ensembl:lncRNA
AGAGAAGACAUCUGCAGGUGUUGUUGAAGCAGCAUGAACUUCAGCUGGUCCAUGGCCAGCUGGGAUAGGUUCAGGGUCUGCUGAAGGUCAUGACGGCAGUAGCAGAUGACAGGGUGGUGAGCGCAGAACUGGACAAUGCCCUGCAUAUUAUCUUAAAUCACAGCUGCACUGUGGACAUGCAGCAGUGUUUUACUAACCAGAUCGAGCAGCUCAGAGGGGAGAAUCAACAGCUGAAGGCUGCCUUGAGACAGGCAGAGUUCAGACUCAGCACAGUGGAGAGAGAGAAGGCCUGUCAGCAUGCUGCACUCUCAGAUAAGAAAUGCAAUGUUGAUCAGCUUACUUUAAAGAAACAGCAGAUGAUCGCUGAGCUGGGAGUGCGGCGUAUGCAGCUUACCCAGCUGAAAGCAGAGGGACAGGAAGCUUUGAAAGAGCUGCUCAGCAGUAAGACCUGUGAGCUGGAACAAGAAAACCUGAAACUUAAGAGCCAGCUGAAGACUACGGGCUGAGCUGGACCAGACCAACAGUUCCUUGAGAACACUGGAGACAGCUGGUGGUCAUGGUACUGUGCAUACACAUAGAAAUGCCUCGUUUUAAAUGAAAAGUGAUCAAUUGUCUUAGCUGAGCACUCAGAUUCACCCUCAGUAACCUCACAGAACUGGCUCCUGAGAAACAAUUUCAAGAAAGUCCUAAUUAUGCUCCAAUACAAAUAUAGUUAUCCGUACUCAUUCAUAGCACAGCUGAUAAUUAAUCUGAGGAUGUUUUUACACCGUUCACAGUGUUACCUCAGGAAAAACCAGAACUAGGCCAAGUGUUUUUAAAAUAAAGGGAGGAAGAUCACACCCUGUGUUACUGGA